GAUCUUAACUUGUCUACCAAUUCUUAGUUUCUGGCUCUUUAGGGCUUUGAGCCCUAUUGGUUUUAUGUGUUUAGUCUGUCUAGGCCUAUAUAUUAUUUGUACUUCAUUCAAGUUAUACUGAGCGGGGCUUUGAAGCCACAUUACUACCAGUUGAUUUCCUUCCGACCAAAAAAAAAGGGUCACUUACAAAUAAAGUUUAGCCUUGGGCCCGUUGCGGACUCUCUCUCGCUCGCGAAUCCUACGAUUUUUCUCUUUUCUGCGCGUAGCGUUUGACACUUGAGAGCUCCCGACGCUAAAAAACGAGAGAAACUCUUUCCUUCAUUUCUUCUCUUCAAUCAAAAUGAGCAGCAUUUCUUCAGUGAGAAAUAUUAUUAGCAAACGCUGCCUCUAUAACCAUUCAACUCAACAAUGGAGAUUCUACCCUCAUCAGUUCACCAAUACAAAAAUACCCAAACGCUCUCCUUCUUCUCUCUCGCAUUCCUUUUCUACAUUUACACCGAAAUCUAAAGUCGGGUUUAUAGAAUGGUAUUUGGGGAAACUCAAUUCUCGCCCAAUUCUCACCAAAACUAUCACAACUUCUCUUAUCUUCGCCGCUGCUGAUUUCACCGCCCAGAUGCUAUCAUCUUCUUCUUCAUUUGACUUAAUAAGAACGACACGCAUGGCUGCAUAUGGACUAGUAUUAUUAGGACCAUCACAGCACAUAUGGUUCAAUCUUAUGUCAAAAGCUUUCCCAAAGCGUGAUGUCUUCUCUACCUUGAAGAAGACUUUUAUGGGACAGGCUCUUUAUGGACCUGCUAAUGCCAGUGUUUUCUUCUCCUACAAUGCUGCCCUGCAAGGUGAAAGUGGUGAUGAGAUUGCUGCUAGAUUGAAGCGUGAUGUGCUCCCCACGUUGAGAAAUGGUCUUAUGUACUGGCCAAUUUGCGAUUUCUUUACAUAUAAAUUUGUUCCAGUUCAUCUCCAGCCAUUGGUGAACAGUACCUGUUCUUUUUUUUGGACAAUCUAUUUAACAUACAUGGCAAGCUUACAAAAAGUGGGAACCACGAGUAUACUGUAGCUCAAUAAAGAGAGGAACCUCACAAUUUUACCAUCUUCCUGGUUCUAGAUUAAUCAUUAUUGUUCAAUUUCUAGUUAUUGGUGGGAACAGAAGUUACUUGAAACAGGGACAAGCAAAGAGCUGCUGACUGGAACUAAGGGACAUAUAUGGGAAAAAGUGAACAAAAUCAUCUACCAUCACCGACUGAUGAAACGACACGGUCCUUCAUACUAUCGUCUGCAGCACUUGCACUACUGACAUUACCAUGACCCAAAUCGUUGGAGUUUUGACUAAGCAAGUACUCUGUCUCUUCUGGAUUCACCUGAAACCAUGAAUGAACCUCCAUCUUUCGCAGGCCCUCUAAUUCUGUUGCAACUUCCUUCAUACUAGGCCUCUCCUCCCCCUUCACUGUUAAGCACCUUACUGCAAGCCUUGCCACCUCCUCGAUCUGUUGUUUGUUUUUUUUAUUUACUAUACGACUAUCAAGAAUCCCAAACAGUUCUCGCUUUCUCGCAGAAGAAAGAAAGCACAUUGCCAGACUUCUCUCUUCCUCAGGACGAUCAAAAGAAAGUGCUUUCAUGCUUGUUAGUAGCUCGACAAGGACUACUCCGAAGCUAUAGACAUCACUCUUGUCCGUCAAGAGAUUUGUAUGCAAGUAUUCUGGAUCCAAAUAUCCCCAAGUUCCUUGCACCAUUGUUGAUAACUGUGUUUCAUCAACCGGGACUAGCCUUGAAGCUCCAAAAUCAGAUACUUUUGCCAUGUGAGUAGCAUCUAAGAGGAUGUUGGUAGUUUUGAUAUCUCUGUGAAUGAUUGGGACUGAAGCUGCAGAAUGCAAAUAGGAGAGUGCUUCCGCAGUUUCCGCUACUAUCCUGAGACGAGUAUCCCAAGAAAGGGCUGAUCCGUUGCUUUGGUUGUGGAUGUAGUCAAAGAGUGUACCAUUGGUGAUGAACUCAUAGACUAGUAGAGGAACUUGUCUCUAAACAGCAGCCCAAGAGCUUGACCACAUUUCUAUGGUUAAUUUGAGACAGCACGACUACCUCAUUAAUGAAUUGCUCAAUUUGGUUUU